UACGAAGGUCCCAAGCGUUAUCCGGAUUUAUUGGGUUUAAAGGGUGCGUAGGCGGGCUAUUAAGUCAGUGGUGAAAGCCUCAAGCUUAACUUGAGAAUUGCCAUUGAUACUGAUGACCUUGAGUACAUUUGAAGUGGGCGGAAUGUGUCAUGUAGCGGCGAAAUGCUUAGAUAUGACACAGAACACCGAUUGCGUAGGCAGCUCACUAAACUGUAACUGACGCUGAGGCACGAAAGCGUGGGGAGCAAACAGG
rnacentral:rRNA from 1 species